GAUGAACGCUGGCGGCGUGCCUAAUACAUGCAAGUCGAGCGAACGGACGAGAAGCUUGCUUCUCUGACGUUAGCGGCGGACGGGUGAGUAACACGUGGAUAACCUACCUAUAAGACUGGGAUAACUUCGGGAAACCGGAGCUAAUACCGGAUGAUAUAUUGAACCGCAUGGUUCAAUAGUGAAAGACGGUUUUGCUGUCACUUAUAGAUGGAUCCGCGCUGCAUUAGCUAGUUGGUAAGGUAACGGCUUACCAAGGCAACGAUGCAUAGCCGACCUGAGAGGGUGAUCGGCCACACUGGAACUGAGACACGGUCCAGACUCCUACGGGAGGCAGCAGUAGGGAAUCUUCCGCAAUGGGCGAAAGCCUGACGGAGCAACGCCGCGUGAGUGAUGAAGGUCUUCGGAUCGUAAAACUCUGUUAUUAGGGAAGAACAAAUGUGUAAGUAACUGUGCACGUCUUGACGGUACCUAAUCAGAAAGCCACGGCUAACUACGUG
rnacentral:rRNA from 1 species